UCAGAAAUAUGUGAUGUGUCGCAACUUUAUGUCACCGAAUGCCCUAUGGGUAGAUAUUCUCCAAUAUAUUUAUUGGUUGCCUACUUAUUUUGAAUUUUGUGUCGAAAAGGUUUUUGUAACUUAUUAGUAAGGUUAUUGUCAUUUUAAAAAAAUCAUGCUACUGACAAGUUUGUGCUGACAAGUUAUUGUGAUCACGUCCCAUAUUUUAUCCAAGCAUUAUUAGAUUAUUUACUACAUAUUCGUUAGGCGUGAAUAAUUUAAAGCAAAUACAAUGGCCCAAGGAAAGUUGAAGGUUAAAACUAAACUUCCAAAAGAUGUAAAAAGUAACCAAAAAACUACCAAGAAAGGAAGUGCAAUUACGAAAAGAGCAAAUCAUCCCGUGCAGUCCAAGAAGAAGGCCAUAACGGAAGUUCGAAAACUAAAGCAAGCAGUACAUAAAACUGUGAACAAAGUAGUUGAAGAUGAAAUACGUUCAAGGGCCGCAUCGAGUACAAACAAAUCAUUAUCAAAGGCACAACAGGCUGUUGCAGAAUACCAUAAAAAUGUAGCACCGUAGAAUAAAAAUGUGAAUAUAUUUUAUUAAUGAUAGCAA